AUGAAGUUCAGCAGGAUUGUGGGCAAGAACCUCAAGACUGAAUUCUAUGAGAGCAUCGACCGGCACAGUCCUCGUCUCCUCGAGUUAUUUGGAUCCAAGAGAGGGAAUGUUGGACAGUUGUUGACACAUAUUUUACAACAGACCAAUACUACAGAGCCAACUGAGUGUCAGAGGGCUUCCUAUCAUCCUUGGGGACAACCCCACAGACCUCUUCAAAGCAGGCUUUGAAUCUGACGAUGAGGAUUCUUUUUGUGACCCAGACAUUGGGAUACUUCUUAUUGAGCGUGAAGGUGCUGUGCUCACAUCCUCCCAGCAUCUCAGUCCAGCCUCGUU